ensembl:lncRNA
CAUGGUUUUGGAGGGAAACAACAGUACUAAACUAGCCUUCCUGUGCUCCCCUGGGCGAGGAGGAAACUUUGGGGCCGAAGCGAUUGCUGCCGUUUGAAGCCGCCGGGCCCUCAUUCCCAUCGCCGGGCUUCAAAGACGAUCUGGCCACAGAUGCACCGUUAACCUGGAGAUUUAAACAAGGUCUUUGCAAGUUCUUCUCAUAUCUAAAACAUCUAUCAGCAUGUGAUACAUUGCACCAGGGUAUUUGUGACCUUUUCUCUGGAGAUGAAAGCCCCAUCACACGCUUUCAUCUAAAGUAGCUGCGCUCUCAAGAUUUGAAGCCUUGUCGCAUUGUAUUUUUGAGUCUCUGGACAGGGGAGUGACGUCCUAACAUCUCAACUGUAAAGGCAAAUGAAAAUGUCACACAUAGGAACAAUUGCUGUUCAUAAAGUUUUCAUAAAUGUCACUGCUAAGGAAAGAAGAAACUAAUGAUGGACAAUUAACUGACUUGGAUUAAUA